AGUGAACGCUGGCGGUAGGCCUAACACAUGCAAGUCGAACGGCAGCACAGUAAGAGCUUGCUCUUACGGGUGGCGAGUGGCGGACGGGUGAGGAAUACAUCGGAAUCUACUUUUUCGUGGGGGAUAACGUAGGGAAACUUACGCUAAUACCGCAUACGACCUACGGGUGAAAGCAGGGGAUCUUCGGACCUUGCGCGAUUGAAUGAGCCGAUGUCGGAUUAGCUAGUUGGCGGGGUAAAGGCCCACCAAGGCGACGAUCCGUAGCUGGACUGAGAGGAUGAUCAGCCACACUGGAACUGAGACACGGUCCAGACUCCUACGGGAGGCAGCAGUGGGGAAUUUUGGACAAUGGGCGCAAGCCUGAUCCAGCCAUACCGCGUGGGUGAAGAAGGCCUUCGGGUUGUAAAGCCCUUUUGUUGGGAAAGAAGAGCAGCAGGUUAAUACCCCGCUGUUCUGACGGUACCCAAAGAAUAAGCACCGGCUAACUUCGUG
rnacentral:rRNA from 1 species